rnacentral:rRNA from 1 species
CGGGGGAUAACUACGCGAAAGCGUAGCUAAUACCGCAUACGCCCUACGGGGGAAAGCAGGGGAUCGCAAGACCUUGCACUAUUAGAGCGGCCGAUAUCGGAUUAUCUAGUUGGUGGGGUAAUGGCUCACCAAGGCGACUAUCCGUAUCUGGUUUGAGAGGACGACCACCCACACUGGGACUGAUACACGGCCCACACUCCUACGGGAGGCAGCAGUGGGGAAUUUUGGACAAUGGGGGAAACCCUGAUCCACCCAUCCCGCGUGUGCGAUGAAGGCCUUCGGGUUGUAAAGCACUUUUGGCAGGAAAGAAACGUCAUGGGCUAAUACCCCGUGAAACUGACGGUACCUGCAUAAUAGUCACCGGCUAACUACGUGCCAGCACCCGCGGUAAUACAUAAGGUGCAAGCGUUAAUCAUAAUUACUGGGCGUAAAGCGUGCGCGUGCGGUUCGGAAAGAAAGAUGUGAAAUCCCAGAGCUUAUCUUUGGAACUGCAUUUUUAACUACCGAUCUAGACUGUGUCAGAUGGAGGUGGAAUUCCGCGUGUAGCAGUGAUAUGCGUAUAUAUGCGGAGGAACACCGAUGGCGAACGCAGCCUCCUGGGAUAACACUGACUCUCAUGCACGAGAGCGUGGGGAGCACACGAGAUUAUAUACCCUGGUACUCCA